UUCAAAUCCAUUUUUUUUAUUUGAGGGGAGAAAAAUAUUAAAUUCAAUUUAAUUAGAGGUUCAACUUUCAUAACUUACUGAAAAAAAAAAAAACGAAAAAACCUAACUGGUUCAUAGCAACAAAAUUGUUAGAUGAAUAUAUAUAAAAUAUAGAUCAGCCGUAGAAUUGUUUUCAAUAAAUUAAAUUAUUAAUAAACUUAAAAGAUAUAUAGACUCCCUAAUUGAAUUGGAUGUGAUUUAAAUGUUAAUUAAUGGAAAAUCUUUUAUUUUUACUUAUUUUUUUUAAGAGAUGAUGAUCACCUGAAUUUGUGUGUUUCUGGCAUCAGCUGGAGUGUAGGUCGGGUAGCUGCAGAGAUAAAAAUAAAUUAAUGAAAUUGAUGAGUGCGCAUUCGUACAUAUAAAACUUUAGUUAUGUAUAGCUGUUUUUAUUGUAUAUUAAGAAAAAAAGAAAGAAAGAGAAAGGUAGAUAUUAUAUAUAACUCUACAAGUAUGUAGAUAUUAAACAAUGUAUACUGUAUAGUACAAAAUAAUUUAUGAAUUGGGAGUAAAUUUUUUUCAAUGAUAUUAUUGCUUUAUUUAUUUAUUUUUUGGAGCUCUGUUAUAUGUUGUGACAAUUUUGAUAAAAUUAGAUAUAGUUGGCCAUUUUAUUUCUUUCUAGAAAAUUUGAUCUUGAAAACUCCUUAUACAUAAAUUUUAUUAUUACUGUUACGCUAAAAAAAAUUAUCUUGUUAUGAUAUAUAUUUCAUUCGUUUGCAGAUAUUAUUGCUACUCCUAGCGAGCAUCCUAAAUGAUAUAUAGCGUUGUUGCAAGUUUGAAAUGGUUUCAUUAGAGAUUAAGAGUUGCAUUUCAUUUGGAGCCAACUUUUGAAGGCACUUUUGUUUUAAUUAUGGAGACUUUAUGAAUUAUUAUGAACUUAGAUUGUGUUAUGGACUUAAAUUAUGGACUUUUAUUUUGGAUUGUUAUGAACUUGUAUGGACUUUUUAAGGACCUUUUUCUAGAUUGUUAUGGAAUAGUACUAUGGAGUAUGGACUUUAUAAGAAUUGUUACGAAAUUUUCAUGGAUUA